GGACACCUCGGGGGUUUCCUGCUUUAUGGCGAAGGACACAUAUACUCACAGAAAUGAGUUAUUUAAAGAAGACGGUCCAGAUUCCACAGUCCAAAAAAAAAAGAGGUUUGCCCUGCUUCUGAAGGAGUCAGGGUAUGAAUGCAGAGGUCUUCCUGUUGGCUCACAUAUCAGAUCUUCAACGUCAACAUUAAAUGCGAGUGAUGCUUCCCCCUCUGUGAAUGUGGCUUUGGGUAUGGCUAAUCCACACCCUGCACUCUGGCCUUCAGAAGCCCAGGGAGAGAAGCCUCCCAGAAGCAACCUUCCAGAACCUUCUCCAUCCUCCCACCGACCUCCCCAGCCCCUGUCCUCUCUUUGAAUCUCGUUGUCAAGUUCUUCCCGCAGACACCUGGCUCCUUGAGGGGAGGUGCAGCUUUCAUCUGACCAUGCAGGCGUGCUUUGCAGUGGGUAGAGCAGUGCUUUCCUCCUCCCAGCUGCACACUGGAAUCACCUGGAGAGUCCAGAAACUUCCCGCCUCAGUGAAAGAACAUCAGUGUAUCAGCACAGCAAAUAUUCCAAAUGCCAGGCUGGAUUCCCUCCAAUUACCAGGACCUCCAGGCUUCUCCUCCUUUCAAGAACUUUCUGACCCUGGAUCCAGUCUAAAUGUUGGUUAUAAACUCACCUGACAUCCACAGGGCCCUUCCAAAAUACUGUCAAGGCUGACUGCUGGUGCCUGGAACCUGCACACCCUCCUGGGACUCUGCAUCUCUGCUGGGGCUGGUUUCUCCUCUGAGCCACCUUAAGGAAUCCCACCCUGACCCGGUCAGAGCUCACCAUGCCUCCCUCUCCUACUUGCUCAGCAUUUUGUGUCUAUCUAGACUGAAGCCUUUGCUUUCUCUCUGUGAUUAUGGUGAAAGUUCAGUUUGCUUUCCUAUCUCUAGAAUGUCAGCACGAAGGCAGAGGCAUGGUCUCCUGAGUUCCAUAACCCCAAAGCCUAACUCCCUGCCUGCCACACUGAGGGGCUUAGUAGACAUUGACUUACUAAAUUGAAUAGUUGAGUAAUAAUGCUCUUUGAAAUAAUUUGGAGUUAGAUCUUGAGCCUUGUGUGGCCAGAGGAUGGGUGAGGACACAUCAUAAAAACUAAAGGUAACUGAGCAUGCCAGUGGUUGGGGUGAGAAAUUUGCAUGGAGCACUCCAGACACAGAGGCAGCAAAACCCAAGUGCUGGGAAGUCAGAGUGAGAGAGUGAAGGGGCAGUGAGUGCUUCUUUAGGAGCUGGAUCAAAACCUAAGAUGAUCUGGCCACAUGGUGCAGACUGAGCACACACUUGGGAGAGAAAUGGGCCAGGAGGAGAGGAGAGAGGUUCACCACAGGACAGUGGAUGACUGGGAAUAGAAGCCCUCCCCAUGGUGGACCAAGAAGUCUGUGAAGCUGAGAGAAAGACAAAAGAAAUCACGACUUCUGUAGGUAGCUGGGAUGGAAACCUCAGGGGUGACAGGGUCUUUAAAGGAAAUCUCAAGGAAGGCAUCAUGUUCUGGGUGUGCUCCAGGGAUGCUGAGUAAGAAAAGACCAGCCUUUCUGUGUGUGUCUUUACUCUGCCACAAGGCACCUGGGCUCCUAAAUGACCAAUACACAUGUGCUAUACUGGUGCCAAGAAAGAAGGGUGUUUUGUAGGAAAGUCAAGGUGAGAGGAGGUGCCCAGGACUUGGCUCCUUUCUUUGAAGGGUGACGGUGUAAAUUCUCCAUGCUGGGGAUCCUACUGAUGGAUGGAGGCAUGUCGAUCUCAUCAUUUCACAGAGUGGGGAGCUAUGGCCACAACGUGCCUAUCACACAAGUCCAGCCUCACGUCAGCUGGACACCAGCUGUUCUGACACUUGUCAGCACAUGGGGCACCCGGAAGUUCAUGGUGUUCUGCAAAGAACGCCACAAAACAGUGAGCUCAACUUCUUGAAAGUCAUAAUGUGUUGCUAAGUCCGAUCCCAGAUCCUAAAAAUAAUAUGAGGUAGUGGCCAUUGAACAGAAAAAAUUUACAUCUUAAACUUGAAGAUAAGUACAAGUGUACCUUUUUCUACCACUGUUGUUCAGUUUUAUUAUAUUGACAAGCACCUCUGCCCACCCUGUGGGGUAAAACUGUUUGAAAGUGUUUAUGAAAGUUUUAUAUAAAUAUUGGUUGAUCAAAUGUACAAAAUAUGCAUGAUGGCACCAUAUUGUGUAUAAUAGUGACAAAUACAGUCUAUGUGGGUGGAGAAACAAGCUCGGUGUUGUGCAUGCGGCUGUGGUUUGUGUUCACACUUCUCCUUUAGAGUGUAGUAGACAGAACAUGCCUGAACUGCCUGGGGCUGAGGGGUCUCAGGCGCAGAGUGGCCCAGGAAUUCUGAGCAAGGACAGAAUGUUAGAGAGAAUAUCCUGAGCUGAGCAGAGAGGCCUGCCCAUGCUAGCUGGCAGCCACCUGCCUUCAGUGCUUCAUUCUUGGGGGACCUUGAGGCCAGUUCUUGAGUGGAUGAGUCCUGCCGCUACUGCUGCUGCCCACUUGGUAGCUCUGUCCUCAUCUGGGAAGAGCCACUGUGAACCCCAGAGACCUAGUGGUGCUAGGGGCUGAUGCAGGCAAAUGACUGGCUGCCCCUGGAUCUUAUGUGAAAACAAGAAUGCUGGACCAAAAGGUCUCUACAGGGCUCCAUGACUACCCAUGACCCGUAACUUCAGUGAGGAGCUAGUGGCCAGGAGGGGCUCAUGGUUGGACACUGGUAUUCCUCUACUCAGACCUUAAACCACAGGUUGCAAGAACAGGGAGGUCACAUGUCAGUGACCUCAUGCCUAAAUAGAUGCAUAGCACAGAGCAGAUUCCUGGAUAGCUUACACCCUACUUUCCCCAGUGCAUCGAUUAUGACUUCCUUUCUAGCAACUGUGAGUACAGCCGGGACUCAUCAAUCACACCUGUAACUUCCCAGCUGCAUUUCUCAGGGUCUCUGAAAGCAGGGCCUUCUCUGGUCUUUUUAAAUUACCCACAGACCUAGGACAGUCUUCUGCACAUACUUCUACAUUUUAAAGGCUUACUUUUAGUAUGUUUAUGUGUGUGAGAUGGGGAAUAUUGUAUUCAUGUGUGCAUGUAUAUGUCUGUGAGUACUGUGGUCUGUGUGUGUAACUGGGUAUGACUGUGUGUGUCAUAUGGAUACAGGGGACUAGAAUGAGGACAGCCAGGUGUCCAGGCUAUAAGAUCUAAGGAGGCACUUGCUCUCAGGGCCAACCCUGCCCUUGCGUGAGCCUGAGAGAGAGAGCCUCCUGGAAUUUUGCACCUUGAGUGCCUUCCUGCUUCACCCUAAUCCCCCCGGUUGUCUGUAUGUUUGGAUGUGAGUGUUGUACAUAUGCUGUGUAUGUGUGUGCAUGCAUGUGAGUGUGCAUGGGUGUGUGUCUGUAUGUCUCAGCAGCUGUCACUGGGCUUCCCAGUCCCUGUCAGCAGGCGAAGGAGGCCCCUUCAUUUCCUUGGGUCCUGCUUAUGCAGCACAGGCCACAGCAAAGGCUCCCUGGGUUGGGUCAGCCCUCACUCUAACUCAACAUGCCCUGGAAGUCACCACAGGGUCAUGGAAAGAGUCCUGGUGAUGAGAUGGAGUGUCUGCUCUGCCACAAGGGCUGUGGGACCAGGGUCGGGGCAUACCUCUCUGGGUCUCAGUUUCCUCACUGGUAAGAUGUGGCAACAGAAUCUCAUCUGUGAGCCCCCUCUAGCCUUGAACAACUCUGGAUCCAGGUAGACCAGCAUAAUGAAAGCCUAUGAAGCUUCUGAGAUGUGCGAGGCAUACAUUGUCCCAGGUACUCAAGUAACUCAAGUCUGGAAGCUGCGAGCCACAGAGAUCAAGCCUUCUCCAAAAAUUGGACUGCAAGGCAUGCCGUACAAACAGAGUGCUAGGAGACCUUGGGGAGGUGGGGAAGAGGAAGAGGAAUCAUGGACAGCUUCAUGGGGAGGUGGCUUUGGAGCUGGGAUGGGUGAGGACAGCUGGAAUGUGGGCAGCACGUGACCAAGUGCUUUGCAGACAUGGCAUGGCCCCCAGCCAGGCCCUGAGGAAAGGAGAGUCUCAGGACAGCAGCUAUGUCACUGUAAGCAGGACCCUUGAAAGCAGGUGCCACCUGCAAAAGGGGGAGCCCUGAGGCCCAGGCAGGCCUGUCACAGUGUGGGGCACCUGUCUAGACAGCCCCAUGGCCAGCAGUGGGGGUGGGCCAUGGGCCAUGGGGACCUUCCUGGUAUGGGGUACUGCCAUGUCCCCAGGGAAUAUGGGGGGCCCAGGAAGGUCCCCAAGGCUCGAAGGACCCAGGUCUUUUCAUACUGCCAAAGAGAUGUAAGGCCUACAGAGGGGAAAGUUUGCAUAUCUGUGAAGGCAUGGAGCCUAGGCAUUGGAAGUGUCCAGUAAGCAUUUUCAUUUGGCAGAAGUAUCUCCAUGGCACUUCUACCUACAGCCCUGCCACAUUUUGCCACAAACUGUCCAGCAGCCCUGAGAUGGAGCCCCAGUGUAGACCGUCAUGGAGCACACUGGCUCUGGAACAAUGAGGAGCAGACUGGAGAAAGCCAGAUGGGGUUUACCUGUCAACAGCCACAACAUAGUUGUGCUGGGGUGACUGUUCAAGAAAAAUGAACUUUGGUGCUCCUGCCGAAUGGGUUGUUAGUGUUCAGUCCUUUUCCUACCACUGAGUUGUUUUGUCUGAUCAUUCUUCCUCCUGGUUCUGCGGGUCUGCCUUCUUGAAAGGGAAGAGCAAGACUCCAGCUCCCUGCCCUGUAGAGGUGCCUUCUACCUUGCUCAGUGUUGAAGCAAAGGAGCAAAGCAAAGCUUAAGUCAGAGAUUUGGUGCUCAGCUAAUCACAGAGACUUUUAAAUGUCAACCAGGGUUUGCUAUCAGGCCAAAGCUGGAUUAUUAUUACCCAAAGUAGAAAAUUGUGAGACAGAGGCAGGUGGGGAGGGAGGGAGAGAGAAGAAAGCAGAAGGUGGAGGAUACGUGGAUUUAAUUUUUUAAAAAUAAAUAUAUGAUUCCGUGUCAAUUAAAAACAAGUACCCCAGGCAAGUCUUCCUGCAGUCCUGUCUUAGCCGCACACACAGCAUAACUGCAAACCCACUUGAGCUCAUUUUUGCUCAAAGACCAACUCUAUUAAACCCUUAGAAUGUUCUGGAUUUCAACACACAGUCCACAGACAGCCAUUCUAUCAAAAGCUUAGUGUUUUCCCUAUGACUGGGUUUUCUGGUAAGGUGAACUAAGGCAUCCUUUUCCAUUUCAGGCUGUGGUAACAGCAGAUAACAGCCGCAGAGGUCAUAGCCAGCACUUUCUAUGCGUCCCUUCAUUUAAUCCCAGUACUCCUAGGUGGUAGAUCUAUUAUUUUGUCCACAUGAAUUAUUGAAAAGUCUGUCCUAAAUUUUAAAUGGAACGAAGUACUGGGUUGCAAGUUACUGGUGGCUGUUUCACAGGAAAUACUACGACAAUGGGACUUUGGGAAUGUGUUCUGGAGACUCCACUCCUUGGUGACUACUACAUGGAGCACAGAAAAUUGUCUUGAGUGGCAGCUAUGUGCCAGGUGAGGAGACAGGUUUUACUCACAUGACUCCCCAGAAGCCCUGCAGCAUCCCCAUAUUUUAUAAAGGGGAAGUACAAGCCCAGAGAGACAUCUGACUUGACUAAGUUCACACAAAAACAGCAAGGUCUGGGCCAAGAUGGAAGCCCGGGCUUUGCCUUCUUCUUCUGCCUGCAGGGCAGGGGCUUUCAUCCUGGCUUCACGCUGAUUUCAAAAGCCUCUCAUUCUCUUGACACCUCAUGGCCCCUGAGUUUAUCCCAAGAAUAAUAAGUUCUACUGUCCUCCUGGAGAUGCCGAAGAAUCAAAACUGCAACACACAGAGGGCCUGGGUGUGCGCGAACACUGUAGUACACACCGAUGACAGCAGAUUAAGCCAUUUCUCUCUUAGGUGCGUCACCCAACCAGCUCCUGGACCCUUCUGCUGUGCUGCCCUGACAGUCACAAUAUGUCCUAGUGGACUAAUUAGCACUAACUACCCAUGUCACCCCAAGGCCAUUUAAGAAGACAAAUAAAAAAGACAAAACCAAUGAGUAUUGUGGCUGAAGAUGACGAAAAAAAGUUAAAAGCAGGGAGGAAUGAAUUAUUUUUUCUUUCUCAAUCUCUCCCUCUGCUUAAACCAAAGAGAGGUUUUCAUCUGAGAGCCCGGGAGCUAAGCAGCUACUUUCUACAUGAAAAAGUGAAAACAUUAAAAUAAAAUCCCUUUCUUUCAAGCUAACGUUCUAAAACUGAACCUCUGCAGAGGCUCCAAAAGAGAAAUGCCUUGCUUUUAAGCCCCUGAGUGAGAGGGAUCCUGAGGAAGUGGCAGAGGGGAUGAACCUAAGCUUUGGGACAUAACAACCGGCACCUCCAGUGGCCACCACUCCUAGCUAUGCUGCCUGUGGAUGGGGCCCCCAGUGCUGGCCCCUAACAGCAUGGGGAAGCCUCCCCAGCCACUCUGAAGCUGUUCGCAUCACAUCCAAGAUGAACCUAGGCAGGGAGGCUGAGUGUGCUUGGGAGAUGCCAAGUUAGGGAAGUAAGUUCCCCAGGGUCCUUCAACUUGUGGUGCCUGAGGAUAGCUGCUUUUUUUCCAGUGCAGAUGGAGACACGGCAGCCUUGGGGGGAUGUGUGAAAGUAAGGCCUCCCUCCCUCUGCCUUUCCAAGUGGCUGAUCAUCUCCUUCCUUCUCAUAGCUACUUCUAGGAGAGGCAUCCAGGCAGGAACCACUUCUCCAUUUCACAGAUGGGAAGACUGAGAACCAUACUGGAAAGGGGUGUAUUUUAAUUAAACUGGAGAGUGGGGAACACUGAUGAGGAAAGCAAGCUGAUAGACGGAAGGCUCUGCCUGUCACUGCCAGCACGGGCACUUGGGCCUUCUUAUCAAGGGUUCUGAUGGGAGUUUCCACUAGGAUUCCAGGUGUCGAUCAUCUAGUAGCCGAGUUCUGAUGAGCUGGACUUUGGGUGGUUGAGGUAGGGAGCAGUGGAAAGGGGAAUUGGAGUCUUAUCAACCUCUUUGAACACCAGUUCCUUCCCCUCUCUUCUAUAAAAAUGUCGUAGCAAUACCUGCCUGGCAGAGUUGUGAGAAUUAAAUGAGAUGAUGAAUACAUCUGCUCUCAGCACCACACCACACCUGUGGCAGUCCUCAGAGAGAAGAAUCACAGCUUUCAUUCAUUGAGAGCUCACUAAGUGCCAGGUAUGCUCAGCUCUUGUGCAGACGUUCUUUUUCUUUGGAUGUAAAUGUGACAUGGGCAGAGCAGGAGGAGCUGUGAGGCUGGCUUGGCUGAGCCACAGGGAUUGCUGGCAUCUUAUAUGGCAUUCAGGACUAUGGAGGGUCCACGGGAAGAAACACAGAAACAGAACCCAAGUAUCCUUCGGGGACUCUUGGACUUUCUUCCCCUUGAUCUUAGACAUGCCUCAGUAAACAGAUGCUGGUUUCUAUCGAGACUCAUUCCUGGGGAAGGACCCCCACCAGCCAAGCAAGGUAAAGCCCAGACUCAGUUACAUGAAUUACAGGUUUAAGACAGAAGCCUUCCUAUGAAUAUUUUUCUGGCCAGUGGCUUAUAUAAGAGAAAUUUGCUCAUUGUAUUUCUAUCUGGCCAACGAAGGGGUCUAGAGGGGCUUUCAGCAACCCAAACAGUCUUGUCAGCCCUAACUCUGGACCUAAGGAAAUAAUUAUGAAUCCUCAAGAUCCAUUUAAAAGUGUCAUUACUGUAGAUAAACAAAGACGAGUGGAUGCUUCUUCCUACUCCACCUCACUGCAGAGAUUCCAUCCAUCCCAGGGUCACUGACCACUGACUGGAUGAACUAGGAUUGGUGUGGCAGAGUGGAGUUUUCAGGAGCCAAGAGACUCCUGGAUUGUCAUGCUCUGUACUCCUUCCCCACGAAAGGAAUGUCUAGAACUCCUGCUGAAAGUAGUCAUUGCCUGCAUUUCCUAGGCAGAAUGUGUUAGCUCCCUCCCCAGAAGAACCUGGGCGAAGAAGGUGUUCCAAUCUGCAUUUGGAAAGAAUCCCUCCCGCAAAGAACUCUACACCCUCUAAGAGAAGAUAACGUGAGGGCAUAUUCUCCUCUCUUAGAGGGUGUUUUCAAUACUAAAUUCUAUCUCUGAAGAGAAUGAGGACCCGAAGGGGGGCAGUGCACCAAGUUUUCAACUAAAACAAAAGCAAAACUAAUCUGCAGUCUUGAAGGUGGGCUCAUUCAUUCCCCUGCCCCCACUUUUUAAAACAUUUUUUUUCUUAAAUGAAACAGUUUCUUUUAUCUUUUGGCUUCUCGUGUACUCAGAACCAUAGAGCUCAAAGCUUCUCAGCUCAACGGAGAACUCAGCACUUCUUGGACUGAUAAAUAGAGCAGCUUUAAAAUGCUUAGAACUGAAGACAGACCAACUGUGGCGAGAGAAAGUAAACACAUCCAUGCACCAGUCAACCCUAGCAAGCUCCUCGCUGAGAUUACAAACUGCAGUUCCUGCCUGAGCCGGAGAGGAUGCUGGAGCAGGCUGGGGGACCAGAACCACAAACCAGCCCUGGCUUAGCUCUGGCUUAGCUAGCUGUGCCCCAGAAGAGCUGGGUCCUCAGGGAGUCUUCUUGCGGCCCGGUUUGGAUGUUCCUAAGCAUAGAAGACUCUGCCAGUGUGUCCCUCAUUCGUUUCACAUUUGGAAAUGUACCAAGAGAAGUGGGAACCAGCUUUACUCUUUGAUCUAGAUGGGAAUCCUUUCCUUUGCAUUCAAGCUCUCUGUGUACAGGUGUAACUUGCCAGUGAGAGACUUGGGAUUUCUCACAAAAUAGAAUGUGAUAACGACAUAAUUUGAUAUGAAUAUUUGAGGAACUUUAUCUCUGGACAAUAUAUACUUUAAACAUCCCCCUCCCCAAGUCACACACACAAAUUGUUUUUAUGAGAACCAAUUAAUAAAUGCUAAUUCAUUGAGGCAUAUCUUCACUAAAUUACUGUUUCAUUUAAUUGCAGGGAAUUUUCCAUUACUAAACUCUCCCUUGCUGAUUUUUUUUUGCAUUAUUUAUAUACUCUUUCAAUUUCACUAAUAGUGAGGUUGGUAUGUGAUAUUAUCUGAUGUUUGUACGUCUUAAAUUUAUUUUUCAUUUAAAAUAUUUCCUCAUUCUUGCAGCUCCACAUAAUCAGGGAGAAACAUCAAUAAAAGCAGGCAAGAUUUUACAAUAAAUGGUUGAAAAAGGCACUGGCUGAAAUUAACCUGACAGGAACGCGUCCUGUGUGAUUGUGUUUCUCUCAUUCCAGACGUGCGUGUGUGUGCGUGUGUGUGUGUCUCUACUUUGGGUUAAUGUGGGAAUGCUUUCCUAUAUCAAUAAGUCACAAGUCGAUCUGUGAAAAGAUUGUGCAUACAAAAUGGAGAUGAAGAUCACAGGGGCUUUAAUAAUAAAAUAAACAUAAACAACACUCGAAUCUCUUUAUAAAUCCCAGAGCACAAUGUGCGUUUUCUUACUUCCUUUUCAUGGACCCCAGAUAAAGACUUUGACAGCCAGAUAUCCAAGAUCCGGAUCAGCCAGCUUCCUAAAAUUCUCCUCUUUUUUUUUAAGGGGUAGAAAACUGGGGGUAUCCCUUGGUGGUUAGGGGUUGCUUAGAGACUGUGGUAGAGAUUUGGUGUUAACAAAAAUGUAUUUUGAAAGCAGGAUUUCAAUUUUCUUAUAUUGAAUGGCAAAGGUUCCAUGCACCUGGCUAUCUUCAUUUCUGAAAUGAAUGCUUUCAUUUUAUUCUCUCCAGCUACCUUCUCCCUUUCUUUCCUUUCCACCCCCAUUGCCUCCUUUCAGUGUCUUUCUUUUUCUCCUUAUUCUUUCACUCCUUUCUCUCUCACAGCAAAAUGUUCUGGAGGAUGUGAAUGAUUAAACUGUUUACUCCAAGGUUUAGGUAUGAAAAGGCAAGUCACUGUAAGUAAAGUUUCACCUUUAUACCCAACUCCAUCAAUAAUUACAGAACAAGGAUGACUAUUAGUAAAUCUUUCUUACAAUUGGCUCUUACAAAAAUGAUUUCAUUUUUUCUGGGCAUACCAAGUUUGACAGAUUUUACUUUUCACAAAAAUUAUUUACACAGCAGAGGAACCUGCUCCAAAAUGAAGGAAGCAUAUAAAGGGCCGUUGAGUGUAUCCAUAGGAAAAUGAAUACCUAUAAAAUGCAUCUCAAUAAAUUAGAGAUUUGAGGCCAUAAAUAGAACGUUUUGACAUAUUAUAUUAGUAGAUGCCCUCUAAUUUAAACCAAAGUGUCCCUUAGUAAUUAAAAUUCCAUGAGAUUGAUUUUUUAUUUGGUUUCCUUCACUUCCUUUGUCUUCUUCAACAAAAUUAGGCAGAGUCCUUUUGGGGGUAGACUGAUAAAAUUAAUUAACUUUCCUUCCACCCCCAAAAAGUUCCAAAUAAAUGCUUCCAAUAGACAUCAAAAAAGUGUCAAUUAGAAAUAAUUACUUCUUAUCAAUCAGUGGGGCAAUUAAAGUGACAAAGCUUAAAAAGAUACUUAUCUUAAAACUAAUUCACAAGGUAGCUAAAUUAUCUCCUAAUUAACUUGCAUUGUGGAGGGUGGGGGGGAACCAUCUUGAAACAAAGAUGAAUUGAUGAACCCCAAUACCUCUUUAUGUUCCUCAAAGUUGCUUCCAUCCCCUGAAACCUUAUUUUCAACCCAGGCAGGAAACCUGGGAAGAAAACAGAUCCUUUCCAAAUGCAUUUAUUCCACUUUCCUCAAUUCUAAAACCAAGAGUUAGGAAUGGGGCUUUAGAUCUCACAUCAGGGAAGUUAGAGACAUCGUCCUCUGCCUUGUCUUAUUUUACCACUUGAAUGAACUAUUUUCGGGACUGGUGGGAGUGGGCUGCGACAAGUUAUUUAAGAUAACUUUUAAUGACAGCCAGCCUGCUUGCUUUUACAAAACUCUCUUCCUCAUUGGUACAGUAUUGUUUUCACUUUUAUAUAUAUGGGGCAUUUAUCGUUUCUUCUGCAUCUUUGAAUUUUUUUAAAAAUGUUUUUGCUUUAGAGAAUUUCGUCCCUGAUGCAACAAAAAUAGCGAUUUUAAGGAACGUUCAGCCCAUCGCUGACCUGCGCACGUUAAAAUGAUUCGCGUUCAACAUUCCUGCAGAAUAAAGCUGUAGGAAAGACAACGUUAAGACUCUCUGCAAGGCAAGACCAGCCAACGACGAGGCGACCCCGUGGCAGGCUGGGCGGCGGAGGCCGCGCGGGGAGGUUUUCUCGAGCGUCCCCGGUUAUUGGGAAGGGUGCGCUCGGCCUCGCUCCCGCGGAAAGCCGUGUGGCCGCCUGCGUCCCGGGCUCUGCUCACAGAAAACUCAAGGGGAGCUCCCUAAGCACGGCCGGUCUCAGGAACAGAGGUGCCUGGGGAAAAGGGGGAACCUGCUAAAACCCGAGAGAUAAUGGGCUUGUAAAAACCAGAGGGGUCCGCUUAUGAGUUUAGCUCCGGUUAUAGACAACAGUGUCAGGUAAGCUGAUCAGAAAGACAGACGGCCUCUCCCUCAGGUUUGCCGAGGGAGGGUUCAGAAAAGAAACAGGGAGCGCCUUCAGCAGUCUAUGCGGUUAUAGGCCAUUUUCUUGUUUUAUUAGCGUUUAAAUUAAACUAUGAGAAGAAAGUCUCAUCUUCCCUCCCUCGCCACUUUGUCUAUUUGUUUUGGAAAGAGGGUAGAAGAAGCCCCUCUGUCUUCCCGAAAAGAAGAAAGGGGAAAAAAAUUACCUGGUAGGUCCAGGGGCAGAGGGCUCCCUCCCAAAACCCAAGCGCGAUUUGCAUCCAAGCUAGUGGGAAAGCGCGCAUCUCAUCAUCUGGGACUGUUCCUGAUUAAAACUACAGUAAAAAUAAA
rnacentral:lncRNA from 1 species